GAUGAAGACGUAGCGAAAUGCGAUAAGUAAUGUGAAUUGCAGAAUUCAGUGAAUCAUCGAAUCUUUGAACGCACCUUGCGCUCCUUGGUAUUCCGAGGAGCAUGCCUGUUUGAGUGUCAUUAAAUUCUCAACCUUAUUGGCUUUUGCUGAUAAUGGCUUGGACUUGGGGGUCUUUUUGCUGGCUUUCAUUAGUCUGCUCCCCUUAAAUGUAUUAGCCGGUGCCCCGCAGUGGAACCGUCUAUUGGUGUGAUAAUUAUCUACGCCGUGGACGUCUGCUAUAAUGGGUUUGCGCUGCUUCUAACCGUCUCUCGGGACAACACAAAUGACAAUUUGACCUCAAAUCAGGUAGGACUACCCGCUGAACUUAAGCAUAUCAAUAAGCGGAGGA
rnacentral:misc_RNA from 1 species